UACGUAGGGGGCAAGCAUUGUCCGGAAUCAUUGGGCGUAAAGAGCGUGUAGGCGGCCAGGUAGGUCUGCUGUGAAAACUCGAGGCUUAACCUCGAGACGUCGGUGGAAACCGUUUGGCUAGAGUCCGGAAGAGGAGAGUGGAAUUCCCGGUGUAGCGGUGAAAUGCGCAGAUAUCGGGAAGAACACCCGUGGCGAAGGCGGCUCUCUGGGACGGUACUGACGCUGAGACGCGAAAGCGUGGGGAGCGAACAGG
rnacentral:rRNA from 1 species